UACAAGGUUACUGAGAGUUGUAUGUAUCAUGUAUUAAAAGGAGAGGUUGAUGGCACACGUCAAGCGGCAGGGUAUCCUCAGCUGGUUUUUUGUGUGGAAUCGACAUCAAGAGAUUUUGGAAGCAUAUUUUUUGUUAUCUGGGCAGCUGGUGAUCGUUGGUCCUGGCGCCCUU